CGGCGGAGAGGCGGCCAGCGGCGGCGCGGCGGAGAGGCGGAUAGCGGCGGAGAGGCGGACAGCGGCGGCGCGGCGGAGAGACGGACAGCGGCGGAGAGGCGGACAGCGGCGGAGAGGCGGACAGCGGCGGCGCGGCGGAGAGACGGACAGCGGCGGAGAGGCGGACAGCGGCGGCGCGGCGGAGAGACGGAUAGCGGCGGAGAGGCGGACAGCGGCGGCGCGGCGGAGAGGCGGACAGCGGCGGAGAGGCGGACAGCGGCGGCGCGGCGGAGAGACGGACAGCGGCGGAGAGGCAGACAGCGGCGGCGAGGCGCGCAGCGGCGGCGCAGGCGCGGAGAGGCGCUGGCGCCGGCUCUGGCGCGGAGAGGUGCAGGCCCAGGCUCCACUCCCCAGCUGUGAAAGGGUGAAACGGAACCUACUGGAAUGAAGCUGGCCUCCCAUGGAAUGAAGCUGGCCUCCCGUCUCCUUGAUUUGAAGCAGCUUCUCCACGUUGGUUAUUAUGCCAUUUUUCUAAAUCUAACAUUUUAAAAUUUGUGCCUUUUCUUUCUCUUUUGCUUGACUUCUCAGAGGUUUUUUUAACGGUCUUUUCAAAGAAGUGGUUUUGGGUUUUAUUUAUCAAGUCUACUUUUAUUAUGGCUGUUUUAAAAUUAAAUACAUUUAUUUCUUG
rnacentral:lncRNA from 1 species